rnacentral:rRNA from 1 species
AAGUCGAACGAAGGCUUCGGCCUUAGUGGCGCACGGGUGCGUAACGCGUGGGAAUCUGCCCCUUGGUUCGGAAUAACAGUUAGAAAUGACUGCUAAUACCGGAUGAUGACGUAAGUCCAAAGAUUUAUCGCCGAGGGAUGAGCCCGCGUAGGAUUAGCUAGUUGGUGUGGUAAGAGCGCACCAAGGCGACGAUCCUUAGCUGGUCUGAGAGGAUGAUCAGCCACACUGGGACUGAGACACGGCCCAG